UUGUCCAAUAAUUUUUUAAGGUUGCUACUUUUGGGCUGGUCAAUGGUAGCUAAGUGGAGUCAAGGCUUCAAUUCUACAUGUUUGCUUAUGGAUCUUCACCGUUUUUAGUUCCAAUGUGAUUGUUCCACCGCUUUUGUGUUAUGGAUCCUUCCACCGCCAUUCUCACCGCUUCUUUUUUCUUCGAUUUGUUCCACCUUAUAGGAAUUGGUAACCUUCUACCUUCCACUUCCUUCCAUCGCUCCCAUUUUCCUCACCCAAAAAUACUCACCAAAUGUUUGUGUAUGUUGUGUUCAAUUGAUCGGAAAGAUGGUAGAAAAACACAAACAUCGAUUGUAUGUAUUCGUUUUCUGCGAUUGGUGAGGAACCACUGAAACACCUUUGUAUGGGUAAACUUAUUGUUGAUAAAGAUUUUGGGAUCUAGGAGACUGUCCAGAAGAAGACCCAGAGAAUCCCCUUUCUUCCACAUGUUUAUUCUAGAUUGCAGACUGACAAAAUUUUCUCAUUUUUGAGCUGAUGUCGAAGACAAGAAAUGGCGAAGGUUUGUGCUCUUUAAAAUUGUUCUUACCAAUGUUUAUCAGUAAAUAAUGUCCUGAAACAAGUUUUUUGAGUUAUUCAUGGAUGAUGUUGUAAUUUAUAUCGUACAAUUUUGCAUUACAACAUAUGAAUUCGUUUUGGAUUCAAUUCUUUGUUAUUGAUGGAUUGAUGGAUUGAACAUAAUACACAUACAUAUUUUUUUGCUUCA